AGGGCCAUCAGAGGAAUAUGGAUUUAAAAGGAGCUCUUGUUGUGGCAAAUCAGGACCAAACUCACCAUCACCGUGUACUGACACUAACAUAAAAGAUUAACUAAUAACAUACGAAACGAUACAAUUUAACAGCAUAUUUGCUAUAAAUCGGAAAUAGAUACGCGAAUAAUACGAUAUUCUUAGGAGACACAAAUUUAAUUUUAUGCUUUGAUUUUAAUAUAUUUCAGUUAAGCGUUACGAUCUUAACAAUUUAUAUUUACUAUAUAGGUAUGAUUCCAGUUGACAAUAAUAAUUGCUACAAGUUACGUUAUAGUAGUAGUCGACUGAUUAUCCAAAUGUUCUUGCUAGAGGUUUAGAUCGCCAAGUUUGUAAAUUACCUAUUCAACAAAAGUUGAUUUGAAUCAGACAAAAUCAG